rnacentral:rRNA from 1 species
AUUGAACGCUGGCGGCAGGCCUAACACAUGCAAGUCGAACGAGUGGCGGACGGGUGAGUAAUGUCUGGGAAACUGCCCGAUGGAGGGGGAUAACUACCGGAAACGGUAGCUAAUACCGCAUACCAUCGGAUGUGCCCAGAUGGGAUUAGCUAGUAGGUGGGGUAACGGCUCACCUAGGCGACGAUCCCUAGCUGGUCUGAGAGGAUGACCAGCCGCACUGGAACUUAGACACGGUCCAGACUCCUACGGGAGGCAGCAGUGGAGCAUGUUGCACAAUGGGCGCAAGGCUGAUGCAGCCAUGCCGCGUGUAUGAAGAAGGCCUUCGGGUUGUACAGAACUUUCAGCGAGGAGGCGUUACUAGAAGAAGAAGCACCGGCUAACUCCCUGCCAGCAGCCGCGGUAAUAC